AACGAACGCUGGCGGCAUGCCUAACACAUGCAAGUCGAACGAGACCUUCGGGUCUAGUGGCGUACGGGUGCGUAACGCGUGGGAACCUGCCCUUAGGUUCGGAAUAACUCCCCGAAAGGGGUGCUAAUACCGGAUAAUGUCUUCGGACCAAAGAUUUAUCGCCUUUGGAUGGGCCCGCGUUGGAUUAGCUAGUUGGUAGGGUAAAAGCCUACUAAGUCGACGAUCCAUAGCUGGUCUGAGAGGAUGAUCCCCCACACUGGGACUGAGACACGGCCCAGACUCCUACGGGAGGCAGCAGUGGGGAAUAUUGGACAAUGGGCGACAGCCUGAUCCAGCAAUGCCGCGUGAGUGACGAAGGCCUUAGGGUUGUAAAGCUCUUUUACCCGGGAUGAUAAUGACAGUACCGGGAGAAUAAGCGCCGGCUAACUCCGUG
rnacentral:rRNA from 1 species